AAUUGGAUAUGGGUAUUGUAGCUGAAACGUCUUGCGAGCUGAGUCAGGGUCGGGGAAGCUGUGAUGGCAAUGAGAAGUCAACACACUGAGGAUGGAGAGAAAGAAGAUGAGUCUGGGAGAGAAAGAGAAUGAUUCUUCUGGCCGAGGGAAAGCAAGAAUAUCUGUUCCUGCAACUGCACUGAUUCUAGAAACACUCUCUAUUCGAACUCUCAUGAGGUGCUGACCUGCUUGGUGAAUGCUGGGAUCUCUGGAAGAGGGAGGCAGACAUCACACACCAGCUGGCAAGUGGGAGCUGGCAUGCAACAUGCCCCAAUACCACUCCCCUCCUGCCAUCCCUAUCUCCUAAUGGUGCCUCCUUUUGGCCAAACCCACCUUUGGCUGGAGGGCAACAGAGCCCAUUGACGUGGUCCCCUUGCAUCUGCUACCUGGGGAGAAAAGCAGGAUGGACACUGAAUCUAGAGAAAUGAAGAAACCCAUCCAGAAGAAUACUGCUUCUUUAUGUUUUUGUAGGUGUACAAAUCAGGCCUCCCCAUGAUAUUCUAAACUCCUUGAGGAAAGAAGUGGAGUCCUGGGCUUCUGAUGUAGCCUCCACAGUGCUCAGGGGAUAGCGACACUGGCACCCUAUAGAUAUUUAAUUACAUGUGGACUGGAAGAGACCAAACAGCUUCCUGGUAUUUCAAUCAAACCCGGUGCUCUAGACCUGUGGCUCACUCUGAGCAAACUAUAAUGAGUUGAACUUGAAUCUGAUUCCUGCUAAGAAAGGUUUCAUUUUAAUAGGCAGUAAGGCUAUGAGCUAACACCAGAAUUCAUUCGAGUUACUAGACUCACUGAAACUCCUCACAGGAUCCAUCUUUCAUGUUUUCUAGAUUUUGGUAUUCUUAUCUAAACUGCAGACCCAGAAACCCUAUGGACCCUACCUUUCCAAUUAUAUUUCUGGGAAGAGUCAUUCUCUGCAGAGCUGAAGCAUGUAACAGAAAGUUCUCAACCUGAAAAAUAUACCUUCUGCGCCCAAGCCCCACUUUCUGCCACUAUUUGGUAAUCUCAAGUGGGUGAGGUGGUCUCUGAACUUCAGCGCUCUCAUGGUCAGAGCCACAAGGGGUUACUGGGAGGCUAAAGGGAAGUGGCAAACGUGGCUGAGAUUCAGAAAGAAAAGCAGCAAGUGUAGAGAGGCAAGGACUUUUCCAUCUUUUAAAUUCCUUAAAGGAAGCCAAAGUUCAUUUUCCAGUCUCCUUCAGAUGCCUCUCCAAUCCUUCACAGCAGCGCACACAUACCGCAGAAGGAACUCACCAUCACAAAAAGAUGACAGAGCACUGGGGGCUGGGGUGCCACUUGUGUUGGCUGAGAGCCUGGAUGCAUGUGAGGUCAAGCCUGACCUUGGGAAAGCUGCUCUCUGGACAUUACUUGCUGUGCCACAUACACAGCUUGGGUUUCUGAGGAAACAACACAGGCUCUAAGGAGGAACUGGAACGGGGCCCAGGGUAUAUCUUUUACAGCCCGUACUUUUGAGGAAAAUAGAAGACAAAAGGUUUUUAAAAAACACAAAGUGUAUACACGUAUACACAAAGUUUACAAGUUUGUGUGUUUUAACAUCUACUCUCCUUAAGAACAAGUAGACAGGAAAGAUAUUACCUGAUAUGGGUUAAAUUGUGUCCCCAAAAACAUGUUUUGAAGUGCUAACCUUUGGUACCUGUGGAUAUGACCUUACUUGGAAAUAGGUUUUUGCAGACGUAACCAAGUUAAGAUGAGGUCAUAUUUGAUUAGGCUGAACCCUGAAUCCAGUAUGACUGGGGUCCUUAUAUAAACAAGAGAGACACACGCAGAGUGAAGAUGAUGUGUUGAAACACAGGAACAGUGUCAUGGGAUGCUGGGGACAGCAGUUGGAGUGAUGCAUCUAUGGGCCAAGGGAAUGCCAAGGAUUGCCAGCCAUCACCAGGACAGAAGCAUGGGUACUGAUGCCCUCACAGAGCCCUUGAAGAGAGUCAACCCUGCUGACACCUUGAUUUCAGACUUCCAGCCUCCAGAACUGUGAGAGAAUAAAUUUCCGUUGUCUUAAGUCACCCAGUUUGUAGCACUUUAUUAUGGCAGCCCUGGGAAACUAACACACUACCCUUAUUUUCAUGCUGAGGAAUGUAAGAUAGUUUUAGGCACCACCUGCUUCUAUACAAGUUUUAUGAUCUCUCCUCCUAAUACUGCAGAAAUUAUGGGUUUUACCAUCUUAGUAUAUAGCAUAAUAUAUCCAGCACACGUUAUAUAUUUAGCACUUUAUUAGAGUACCCCGGUUUGCUCUUCUGAAAAACUGUGAGGCUGGAUUUGAUGCUUUCUAAGGCUUUUUUUUCCCUAUGUAUUCUCUGAUCAGAAUACCCUGCUCAACGAAGCCGCUGGUAAUGAAGCUCAUUAAAAAUGAAAUCACUUAGGUAGGGAGUUGGAGAGUGACUCAUUUAAAACAUUGCCUCCUGGAAACUGAAAUUCAUUGAACACAAAAGCUUUUGGAGGGACUCAGAUUGGUAGGGACUCUGCAGUCUGACAAAAGGGUCUGGUGACAGGGGGCAUCUGAUCCCAUCUAGGGAGGGUAGGGAGAGGGAGUCCGGAGAGGGAUGCAUAAACAAGCCUUCUUCAGACAUGCUACCUAUGCCUCUCCCAUGGCUCCUGCAUGCUUGGAUGUUACGCUUCUUUAAAGAGCAGGUGACAGGUUGCCCCUGGGACGCUCAGAGCCAGGCAAGGUGGGACUUGGCCCUGCUCCCCCUUCUUCUAUCUGAAAAGUUGCCCUUAGUCCCACGGGGCCCCUUCCUGUCACACCGACACAGCUUGCUGGUUUUUGUUUUCUUUCACUGUCCUUUUUCUUUUUUCAGAAGUUCCUCACAGGAAGUGUUUGGCAGGCAGCUCAGGCCCCUGCUGAGAUGGAGAAUCUAGCAAACCUGUCCCGCUGAUUGAUUAAACACUGAGGAGGCUCCAAGACCCAAGCGUGAAAUUCCUUGGCUCUGAUUGUGCUAAGGGUAGAGCUCACUAAUGAAUGGAGUCUGAUUACAGCCCAGCCUCUCCAGUGCCUCCUGUUGCCCCAAUUUGGGGGAUUCUUCUGCUUCGAGUACAUCAUGGAAAGCAGCACAGAGUUCUCAGCAGGAUCUGCGAUGUCUGAUCCAAGAAAGAUUUUUGUUGUUGUCGUCAUUGUUGUUUUUUAAUCCUGAUCAUUGCUCUCAAACCCUUCUCUACACAGCUUGGCGUGGGGGGUAGUUGAUUUCCAGUGAAACCGGGUGGAAGCAGUGCCACUGCCACCUGUGAGGAGGAAAUGGGCAACAGUCGGCUUCAUCCGUCCUGAACGCUCAGGCCUGAAUGUUCCAAACUGAUGCUAAACUGAGACUCUCUGAAGGCCCAUGGGGAAGCCUGGCAUUGUGUAGCCAUUUCUUCCAGCAAGGCUCUCCCCUCACAUUCACAGCCUGCCACUUAAAGCUUUGGGAGACAAUGUAGUUGACCUGUAGUUCUUCCUGUAUGUGGCUCCUGAGCGGCCCAGCCCUUGGAAUGUGUUUCUGCCACGACAAGGAAUACAGGAGGAGUUGAACAGGAAACCUGCCUCCUAUCAGAUUCACCUGAGGACGUGGGUUGUCACGAGCUCCCCAAACAAUAAAGCACUUUACGACAUAGGAGGCAUUAUUAUUAAGCUGUUUUCAGUCCCUGAUACCUGCAUGUUGUAGGACCAUGGUGCAUGAAGGAUUUUAAGGAGGCACUUUUGAAAUGUGAAAGGGACAUAGACUGUACAUCUGGAGCACAAAGGCAGGUUUAACCAGCUUUGUCCUGCUCGGCGCCAGUUGGAAGAGAGCAUCUGGCUUUGAAGUGUCUAAAGCCAGGCGUGACGCUGGAUUCUACAGCUGGUAUGUGUUUCCUUAGACUUUCUGAGGGAAAGAGAAAGGAGUGAGAAGGGAAUGUGGAACUAAUUCCCACAUUAAUUGAAGACAAUAAGGAGACAGCAGAAUACUUGCUUCAGUCAUGAGGCCCCUGGAACAGAAGAACUAUGUCACAUACCAAAGGACAGCAUAACCCACAAUAAGCCCCCACCUCAAAACCCACAGACUAUUACCCCAUACUGUGGCAUAAACUUGAGAUGCAUAAUUGUAUUAAGCCGGUGUCUUCUGUGACUUGUGCUUGACCCCUGCCUAACCUCCAGGUAAAGGAAAAGUGAGAGCCAUGGCUCCAUGACUAACUCCCUUCCCUCUGCCCUGUUGGAUUCCCUGGCAAUCUGCAGGAGUGUUCUGAGACAGAGGCUGCAGUGGUCUCUGGGCCACUCCAGAGGAAUAGUGACCCUGAGUAUGGUGUCAAGGUUGGAUAAGGGGGCUUAGAGCACCUCACUAAAAGCCUUCCUUUCCUGUCUGAUUGCAUACAGCCAGGGCAAAGCUGGUGGGGUAGGGCUAAGGACCUUUCAUACCUAAAAGACCUCUGUAGUUCAUCUUGGUUACAACAUAUUUCUUCCACUUCCUUUCCUACCCCAAAUGAAAAUUCCACCUUCCUGGACUCAUUCUCAGGAGCAUUUAUUUACAUUUUAUUUUAAGAUAAUUGUAGCUUGACAUGUAAUCGUGAGAGAUAAAACAGAGAGACCCUGUGUACUCUUUGCCCCAUUUUCUCCAAUGGUAACAUCUUGUAUAACUAUAGUACAGUAUCACACACAGGAAAUUGACAUUGAUAUAAUCUCUUGACCGCAUAGAGAUUUCACCAGUUUUAUGUACAUUCAUUUUUGUGUGUGUGUGUGUGUGUGUGUGUGUGUGUGUGUGUACUUAGUUCUAGGAAAUUUUAUCAAAAGUGUAGACUUGUAUGUCACCACUACUGUUAAGUUACAGAACAGUUUCAUCACAAACAUCCCUCCUGCUAUUCCUUUGCAGUCACUGCCACGGCCUCCUUUCCUUUUCUCUCUACUCACCCCCAAUCCCCACAGUCAGGUGCAUUGAAAACCAGAUUCAUCUUAAAAUACCUGAAAUUAAAUUAGUUGGUGAGGUUCUUUCUCCUACAGAACUAUAAAGCUCAGCUAUGAAGGCCCAGAAGCAAACAUUGAAAGCAUGUUCUGAAGGUGGCCCGAAGGCCUUGGUCUCUAACCUCCUAUCUGUGAUUUACUGUCUAUUUCUUAUUGGAAAUGUUUCCUAACCUAUUUGAGCCUCUGUUU
rnacentral:lncRNA from 1 species